CACGGUCACAGGUGAGGCGAGCUUAUAUCGUGAAGCGGAGGGUCCAAUUGGCUCUUCGGAGACCGAUCGAUCCAUCGUCUCUGAAAGAUUGAAAGGCUAUUCGAUCGCGCGCCGUCGCUUUCGCGCGCGGGAUUCGGCAUGGAUUGGGAGCAUAUCAUCAUAGGCCGACGACGUGAGCACCUGCAGAUUCUGAUUUGGGCGCGGGUUUUGUAUCGACUCUGAUGGCUCAACCAACCACACGGCGGCCUGGAUGGAAAUGGAAUGCAUGCAUCCAUCAGAUCAGACGUGCGGUGGUCGGUCGCUCAUGUGUCGGCGAGAGGCGGCGGAGGGAGUGAGGGACACGGGAGGGAGGCGGCGGUGUUCUUGCAGUCCCCUGUAGUGGACAUGCCUGCCGCUGCUUGGUGUUGGUGAGCUGCGCUCUUGGAGAAACUGCACCGGUCGCUUCCCCGCUGAUACCACAUCAAAAUAAUCAGCCGGACGAAAGCAUGUGCAACUAGAGCAAGAUGUGUGCAGUGAGUGUCAAAGGGGAUGGGGCUGCUGAUUGUGAGAAAUUUGCCAUGUACUACCGAUCUCUCUUUUCCCUGGAGAAUAGGUAUUCAGGUAGAGAAGUGGAACGAGCAGUUGAAGAAUGCGAUUUUUGCAGGGAUCCUCUAGAUUUUUUAAGAGUUAUCUUGGACCAGCCAACCGUUUAAUCAUUUGAGAUGUUUUCAUCUUAUCUGAAUUCAUGCUCGUCUUUUGCCACCCAAGAAGUGGCGGCGUAGAACAAGCUAGGGAUGCUGUUCUUUGUGUU